rnacentral:tRNA from 1 species
UGGCAAGUAACUCAGUGGUUAGAGUUCUGAGCUUAUAUCUCAGCGGUCGUGGGUUCAAGUCCUACCUUGCCAACCA